UCCAUCUCAUGGCUGCAACCAGACUGUGU
rnacentral:piRNA from 1 species